CGGGAGGUGAAAGUUCAGCAAGAGGACAACCCUGUCAGGAAGUAGAAAGUGUCAAUCCACAGAGUGCCAAACCUACUCUGAUCUACUUCACUGACCAUUUAAAAAAAACAAGGACAAUCUGCGAAGUGCCGAUCCACUCGUGACAUAUUUCUCUGUUUCUCAUUCAGUAACUGCGGCUAGAAGUCCCAGGUUCAUUUGUUAUUUUACAAAGAAAGGGAAGAAAUAUCAAAAGAAAGUUAUGUUGGAAGGGGGGCCAUCAGUGACCGUGCUGAAGAGUGGCGGAUUUCUCUCAAGUCUCCGUUCUCCUGAGAGAUGGAUUUGUGCAAAUGGAGAGCCUGGAACGCCAUCCCCUGGUUAAAACAGCAUCGGAAAACGCCAAGGAGAAAAUUAUACGCAUACAAUGGCAGCAUUAUUUGAGCGCGAUCCGAUGCAGAAUUAAAUGGUACAAAGUUAGGAAUAUUAUAAAUAUAUCAUGCCUGAAGGCGUCAUGAUUGAAAUAAUUGAACAGAACAAAAAUCAGAUAUCUGAGUCUGAAUCAAAUUAUAUCAUUGCCACAUUCAGGUUUAAUUCCAAAUAUACAAGAAACGCUUUCAUUAAUAUUAUUAGUUUAGAUACAUUUAGAGAAUGGACUACAGCCGGUUUAAGCCAAUCCAGAUGUGUUUAUAAGAAGAGCCUUAGCAUCAAAUACCUGCACAACGGUUAAAACUUUGAGUCAUGGAACUUGCAGCAAACCCCGCAGUUCUUUCCAGCUGUGUAAAUACUAGCCCAUUGUACACAAAAUAAACUGAAACCGCAUCUUGCCAACAAGGUGGAAACCGAAAAUCGUUGGGAUACUUUCCUACCCUAACGAAUAGCUUCAGCAGAAAGUAACCUAGUUGGUCUUAAUUGCCUGCAGUUUCCUGAUCCUUCUGGAGCAAAUGUCUAAUGCAGCUUCUGACUGCGCGAUCUUGUCCCUAAACGCAAGGAAUGUGCCGGCAGUUCUAUCCGAAUACCAUCAAAUUGUGAAGAUCUGCGUAAAUUUCGCAGAACAGCUUGGACAUUUCGCGAGUUCUAAAUUCAGACCGUUGGACUUAACCUGGCUGCUGAUGUUGUGAAAUGUAAAGCAGCAUCACGGAGUAGUGAGAAACAACGAGAUUACAAUAAACAAAUCUGGGAUGUAAUCUAAACGUUGAACUUUAUUGCAAAGUUGAUCCAACUACGAUUUCUGAAUACUUCAUGUGCGUUGCGUCCCAAAAUCUUUUCUAAAAAAAGCAAAUUCCUGAUUAAAAUAGCCACAUAUUCAACUCAUUUCAUCGUUACGCAGUUAGGUUUUUCUUCAAUGCUGUCCAGUUACCACCGAAUUAUGUCCUUAAAUGAUAGCGUUCAAUUCGAAAUAAAAAUGAAAAUGA